UGACUNGAGUGCAGAAGGGGAGAGUGGAAUUCCAUGUGUAGCGGUGAAAUGCGUAGAUAUAUGGAGGANCACCAGUGGCGAAAGCGGCUCUCUGGUCUGUCACUGACGCUGAGGCUCGAAAGCGUGGGUAGCGAACAGGAUUAGAUACCCUGGUAGUNCACGCCGUAAACGAUGAGUGCUAGGUGUUAGGCCCUUUCCGGGGCUUAGUGCCGGAGCUAACGCAAUAAGCACUCCGCCUGGGGAGUACGACCGCAAGGUUGAAACUCAAAGGAAUUGACGGGGGCCCGCACAAGCGGUGGAGCAUGUGGUUUAAUUCGAAGCAACGCGAAGAACCUUACCAGGUCUUGACAUCCCGAUGCUAUUCUUAGAGAUAGGAAGUUACUUCGGUACAUCGGAGACAGGUGGUGCAUGGUUGUCGUCAGCUCGUGUCGUGAGAUGUUGGGUUAAGUCCCGCAACGAGCGCAACCCUUAUUGUUAGUUGCCAUCAUUAAGUUGGGCACUCUAGCGAGACUGCCGGUAAUAAACCGGAGGAAGGUGGGGAUGACGUCAAUCAUCAUGCCCCUUAUGACCUGGGCUACACACGUGCUACAAUGGUCGGUACAACGAGUUGCGAGCCGGUGACGGCAAGCUAAUCUCUGAAAGCCGAUCUCAGUUCGGAUUGGAGGCUGCAACUCGCCUCCAUGAAGUCGGAAUCGCUAGUAAUCGCGGAUCAGCACGCCGCGGUGAAUACGUUCCCGGGCCUUGUACACACCGCCCGUCACACCACGAGAGUUUGUAACACCCGAAGUCGGUGAGGUAACCUUUUAGGGGCCAGCCGCCUAAGGUGGGANGGAUGA
rnacentral:rRNA from 1 species